rnacentral:rRNA from 1 species
UACGAAGGGGGCGAGCGUUGUUCGGAAUUACUGGGCGUAAAGGGCGCGUAGGCGGCCGAUCAAGUCAGAUGUGAAAGUCCUGGGCUUAACCUGGGGACUGCAUUUGAUACUGAUUGGCUUGAAUGCAGGAGAGGAUAGCGGAAUUCCCAGUGUAGAGGUGAAAUUCGUAGAUAUUGGGAAGAACACCGGUGGCGAAGGCGGCUAUCUGGACUGUGAUUGACGCUGAGGCGCGAAAACGUGGGGAGCAAACAGG